rnacentral:misc_RNA from 1 species
AGCAUUAUAUAUCCACAAAAAGUGUAGUUCUCUGGUACAAGCUGUGGUAAUUUAAAUUAGGUUUCUUCGGUGAAGAGGGAUAUAUAUAUCAAGCUGUUAAAAAGAAAGUGAGAGAAGUGGAUAUACCACAUUUUCACGCAUUUUAGUUAACAACUAUUAUAGAAAGGUUUAAACUUAGACCAAUUAUUCAACUAAUUUGUAGAACGUCAUGAUGCAUUCAGAGUGUGAGGAAGGAUGUAUUGAAACAGAGAUUGAAGCCUUGAAAUCAAUCUAUGUUCAUGAAUUGGAAGUUGAAUAUGCUGAGAGUGAUCAGCCAACAACUGUAGCUGUUCAUCUCCAUCCUGCUACAGGAGAAAAUAUUGAAAAACAGUUUGUAAGACUUACACUAGUAUUGAAGCUUUCAUCAAGAUAUCCUGAAGAAAUCCCGGCAAUAAACAUCAGAAAUCCCAGGGGUUUAUCUGAUGAUAAAUUAGAAUUACUUUUUCAGAACUUGACACUAAAAGCAGAAGAAUCCAAAGGCCAUCAAAGCCUUUAUGAACUGAUUGAGGUGGCUAAAGAACAUCUUACGGUACAAAAUACACCAAGCUGCCCAUGUGCCAUCUGUCUGUAUCACUUUACAGAGGAGGAUGUGUUCACCAAGACGGAAUGCUACCACUAUUUUCAUUGCUACUGUUUAUCCCGCUACAUUCAUCACUGCCUUGCAGAAAAAAAGGAAGAAGAAGAAGCUUCCACAAGGAGAGCUGGUGUGGAGAAUAAAAAGAUAGAGAUUGUAUGUCCAGUUUGUCGGACAGUUAUUGACUACAAAAGCUUCUCGAGGAAAACUUAUCCCGUUCCUAAGGAAUCUGAACAAGAACAGGACUUCAAAGUCACUUCAGAUCUUCGUAAGCAGCAAGAAUGGAUGGCUUUUUUAUUUGAAAAACAAAGAGCAAAAGGAAGCAUAAUUGAUGUAGAAAUGGAGAAAAACAAGUUGCUUUUAGAGAUAUCGACAACUAGCAGGGAAACUAUGAACAACAAUACUACCUCAGAUAGUAAGUCAUUAGAAAUUCAUGAACCAAGUGUUUCAGCUGCCAGAGAUAUUGUGGAUGAAGAAGAAACCUUACACACAAGUAAAGAUAAAAAGAAUGUCAGGAAACCAGCCAAUCCUAAAUCUAGAAAACUCGAGAAUUUCACAGAUUCACAAAAAUCAGCUGAUUCAACAUAUUGUUCUGAAAGGAAAGCUCAGCUUAGUGCGGAUGGAAAUAACGUGUGUGGUUCUAAAACAAAAAAAGUAUUACCAGCUGUAAGUAUUGUUGAUCGGAAAGAUGGUUGCCCAGAUGUGACAGUUGAGAAAUGUGGAGUAGUUGAACGGGUAUGUGGAGAGCAUUAUGGCAGGAAAAAAACUUAUGAAAAAUUUAAAAGGAGUGGAGCUCGAGAACCUAGAAAUUGGUAUUCUGAAGAAAAAGAUGUAAGAGCUCCACGUAAAGAUGAAGGAUACUGCAGUCCAGUGAUGCAAGUGAAGUCUUAUAGGAACAGGAAUCGUAAUAUACCGUGCAAGGGUUAUCCUUCUAAUGACUGCAGUGCAAAAGCCGAUGGUGAGCAGCACAAUAAUGAUCGAAAGCCUUUUCAGAACAAAAAAAGUGUGGAAGAUUGUCACCCAACAAGUAACACAGUUGAAGUCAACAUAUCUCAAAAUAAUGCAAAAUUUGAAGAUACCUCUCAGAACAGAAAAAAAUAUAAUAAUAAAUUUUUUAACUGCAGGGUGAGAAAUUUUGAACCACAUAGGGCUAGAUUUGGGCAUGAAUUCCAUUUUAACAGGCAUAAGAACAGGUACCCACCUCAUGUUUAUGGAUCUAGAAGUAUUCCUGAGGAGAAACCCAACAGAAAACAAUUUCAGAGUCAUCAAGACAUUAGUUUAGGUUCUGAUAAAUCUAUGAACCUGACAGAAAAAGACGCAAAAAAUGAUAAACGGAUCGAGUCCAAUGACCCAAGCUACUACGACCGGAUCAACUCGCGAACUCCACCCUUAUCAAAGACUGUAGUUCAACCAUAUACUAGAGGGUUUAGACUUCCACCAGGAUUUAGUAGGCCCCCACCAGGAUUUGAAAGAAGAUGACAAAAGAUAUUUAUUCUAGACCCUGUUACUUGGGUAAAAGGCUGGUUAAGACAAUUCUCUCGUUUUUUUUAAAAAUAAAUUAUAAUUUAUUUACUUUUGGACUGAUAUGUACAUUAAAGCUAUUGUAUUUGUAUGAAAUAUUUACUUGCUAAUAUUAUCUACAACAAUUUAUUAUGAUGUUGAUCUUUAAGAAGAGAACAUUGCAGUUGAUCUCUGUAAAAUCAGUUCUUUGUAUUAGAAACUCUUUAGUGAUGAGAUGGAAAACUGGUAAGUAAUAUAAUGUUGGAUCUUAGAUUAAUAAAUAGCAUUGAUGACUAGAAUUUUGUUGUACAAAAAUAAUGAACUAAUAUUUUUUUUUUUAAUUCAAAAUCACCUGUAAUCCAUACUCAAAUAAAAUACAGUAUUGAGACAAAAAAAAAAGAUGAUAAUUUACUUGAUUUACGUUAAAAGGGGUGAAGUGCUGGGAAAAUUGUCUUUAUCCAUUUAAUAAUUUUAUUCUCUAAAGGUCAUUUCAUUACUUUGAAAUUUAUUCCCGUUUAAUUCUCUCUUGUCUCCAUAAAAUCUUUCUCAAUUCAAAACUGUACUGAAAUUACAUAAUUUUUUUUUUUCUGGCAUCUGAUUGAUUGUUGUGGUAAUUCUUAUCGUUGAAAUUUGCAACUUUUUUAUUCUUUCUUGGACUCGUGCUGACCAUUAAUAUUAAUUUUUAACAUCUUGUAAUGUUGCUCAAGCAAUCAAAACAUGAUACAGGACGCAUGAGUGCAAAUAAUAAAGUUAUUUAAAAAACAUUUUUGGCAAUCAGUAAGACGGAUUUUAAUUAUCAAUUAAAUCGUUCGUUUAGUAAAAUGUAGUGUCAUAAAACAUGCUGUCUCUAAACAAAGUAAAUAUUUCACCUUUAAGAAGAUAGUUUAAAAUUAAAGCACAGAAAAUCCAUAACAAAAAAAAUAAAGGAUUGAUGUACUUGGUAUCACUUGUAAUUCAUUAUGUGAGAUAACAGGUGAGAAAGCCAAAAUUUGAACUUUUUAAUUUCUCCUUUUUUUUUCUUCUCUCGUAUGAGUGUUAUCAUGUGAAGAAACGAUAAAGAUGAUCACCAAAUUUAAUGAAAAUAGUGGAAAAUGCUUUUAAAGUUUAUUUGCCUAUGUAAAAAACCAGAACUUUAGGGAAAUGGUAGGUUUGUAGUUUUACUAUUUUAUUGUAAUAGCAUGAAUAGAGUAAAACGUAAAAUUAACAUGUCACUUGUUGCUUUUAUCUUAACUUUCUGGAGACAAACCCCAACCUGACGGAGUUGAUGAGAAUUGGUAUUACUGUAGUUGAUCAACACAAACAUCAUAAAAUUGUUUCCAAUAAUUUCCCAAGCCACGAGUGGAGCGAAGAGGGAUUGAUCGAUCUUUGAAUACCCCAG